CAUGUGCCAGCCAGAGCUGACCCACAACCUGCUCUGGGCUCCUUCAGAUAUUCCCUUGGUGGAGUGGGAUCCGGAGCACCACUGCUCCAAAGCAAUUCCUGGUUUCCAUUAAUUCAAUGUAUCCUGAUCCCACCAAGAGCAGCAACAGAGUCAAGACCCAGGGCCCGUUGUUGCCAGGACAGGACCCCACAGAACUCCAGGGUCACAAAAGAGCUGCCAGGCCAGCAG